rfam:Capsaspora owczarzaki ATCC 30864 unplaced genomic scaffold supercont2.4, whole genome shotgun sequence.
GGAGCCAUAGCUCAGCGGUAGAGCAGCUGACUGCAGAUCAGCGGGUCACGAAUUCGAUUUUCGUUGGCUCCU